rnacentral:rRNA from 1 species
GACGAACGCUGGCGGCGUGCCUAAUACAUGCAAGUUGAGCGCUGAAGGUUGGUACUUGUACCAACUGGAUGAGCAGCGAACGGGUGAGUAACGCGUGGGGAAUCUGCCUUUGAGCAGGGGACAACAUUUGGAAACGAAUGCUAAUACCGCAUAAAAACUUUAAACACAAGUUUUAAGUUUGAAAGGUGCAAUUGCAUCACUCAAAGAUGAUCCCGCGUUGUAUUAGCUAGUUGGUGAGGUAAAGGCUCACCAAGGCGAUGAUACAUAGCCGACCUGAGAGGGUGAUCGGCCACAUUGGGACUGAGACACGGCCCAAACUCCUACGGGAGGCAGCAGUAGGGAAUCUUCGGCAAUGGACGAAAGUCUGACCGAGCAACGCCGCGUGAGUGAAGAAGGUUUUCGGAUCGUAAAACUCUGUUGGUAGAGAAGAACGUUGGUGAGAGUGGAAAGCUCACCAAGUGACGGUAACUACCCAGAAAGGGACGGCUAACUACGUG